rnacentral:lncRNA from 1 species
GGCGUUGACGUGAUGCCACGUAGGAAGCCACGCGGGCGAUUCGCGUGCCCGCGAUCGAACGACUCAAAUUCGUUCUCGCACAUAAACAACCCAAAUGCGUUUCCUCCCCAAACGUGAUUGGACGGUCAGAUUUAAACAAGAUCAGGCAGUCCAGAUUAGAUCGCGAUGAAUGACCCAAAUUGAAUCACGAUGAAUGACCCAUAUUAACUCCCUAUUUAAUCGCGAUCGGAC